GCUAUAAAAAUGUGUUCCUUUGUCAGCCUUCUUCUCUUCACACUGCUUUUAGAGCACAAAGUGUGAUGAGCAGGAAGAGGAACGGCUUGAGCCGCUACAGACACAGUACCAAAUUCACAGAGAAGCAGGACGUAAGAAACCCUUACAUCUGAUUCAACAUCAGAACAAAUCAACAUGAGCUGCUUUUUUUAUUUUUAUUCUCAUCAUUUCCGUUGAUGUCGUUCAGUCACAGAGGUACUUUAGUCUUAAACCUGGAUCAUCCUUCACCAUCCCAUGUCAUUAUAAUAGUGAAUUAUACCACUAACCAACCACUAACCAACCACUAAACAAGACAAUGCAUACACUGUUUGUGAAUUUUGUCCCAAGCA